GAGAUACUGGAAUAGACUCAUUCGAUUUGACAACAACCGCAUCACCAAAUUAGCAUUCGAUAUUGACUAUGAUCGCUGUAAAAGUAAUUGGUGUAGUGAAGUAAAGGAUAUACUAGACCAGCUUGAACUAGGACAUUUUUACGAACUGAAAUCAGAGGUCGACUUAUCAUUGGUUGAAACUAACAUUUUUCGUCUGUAUUCAGAUAUCUGGAGAAAUUCCGGCCAAAACGUUUCAAAAUUACGAACAUAUAGGAUCUUUAAAACAGUCUUUGAAACUGAAAAUUACGUUAAUUUGAACUUGAGUAAAAUUGAGCGGUCACACUUAGCGC
rnacentral:lncRNA from 1 species